CAUGAGUUGUUUGAACGCUUUUCAUUAUAUGUCUUAUGAGGCUUUUUGGGUAUUCAAAAAGCCCUAUAAUCUCCGCAGCGGUUUUACCCACUGCAGAAAUUAUAGAGCC
rnacentral:ncRNA from 1 species